rnacentral:rRNA from 1 species
GGGUGCGUAACGCGUAUACAAUCUACCUUAUAGAGGGGGAUAGCCCAGAGAAAUUUGGAUUAAUACCCCAUAGUACUUAGAUUCAGCAUUGGAUUUAGGUUAAACAUUUAUGGCUAUAAGAUGAGUAUGCGUCCUAUUAGUUAGUUGGUAAGGUAACGGCUUACCAAGACCGCGAUAGGUAGGGGUCCUGAGAGGGAGAUCCCCCACACUGGUACUGAGACACGGACCAG